GGUAAAAGGAAGUGCUAAGGAGU
rnacentral:piRNA from 1 species